UGGCGAACGGGUGAGUAACACGUGAGUAACCUGCCCUUGACUUCGGGAUAACUUCAGGAAACUGGGGCUAAUACCGGAUAGGAAUCCUUGCUGCAUGGUGGGGGUUGGAAAGCUUCGGCGGUUUUGGAUGGACUCGCGGCUUGUCAGCUUGUUGGUGGGGUAGUGGCUUACCAAGGCUUUGACGGGUAGCCGGCCUGAGAGGGCGACCGGCCACAUUGGGACUGAGAUACGGCCCAG
rnacentral:rRNA from 1 species